CUGAGAUAAGCUGGCAUGGCAGUGAGAAGCAUCUUUUGCUGAGCCCGUUUGUGUUUUAUCAUCCACAGGGUCCAGGCUGCUGGGGGACACCGGUGGGGAGAUGAGAGGAACAAGCACUGGGGUGGGUCGAGGCCUCUCCGGGACCAGCUGCCCCAAAGAGUACGGCGGAUGCAUGCUUGUCUUGCCUUCCUUCAGAGCCCGCAGCUUCCACGUCUUCUUGAACCUUCACACAAACACACAAAGACAAACCACACAGAUUUUUAGCUCCCCCUGUGACAAGCCCACAGUGGAAAACACCAACAGCUGGCUGCCCUGGUGGCCUGGCGCGCCCAGGUUUCGGCUCAAAGGAGCAAUAACUAUCAGCUGUCUUUUUGUUUUUUGUUCAUUUGUUUGUUUUGAGACAGGAUCUUGCUCUGUUACCCAGGCUGGAGUGCUAUGGCGUGAUCUCAGCUCACAGCAGCCUCAACCUCCUUGGGCUCAGGUGAUUCUUCCACCUCAGCCUCCUGAGUAGCUGGGGCUACAGGUGUGUGCCACUACAUCCGACUGAUUUUUGUAUUUCUCAUAGAGACAGGGUUUUGCCAUGUUGCUCAGGCUGGUCUUGAAUUCCUGGGCUCGAGCAAUCCGCCCGCCUCGGCCUCCCAAAGUGCUGGGAUUACAGGUAUGAGCCGGCACACCCGACCCGACUGUUUUUAUCACCAGGGAGUUCACCAUACUCUGAAGAGUUGGUGAGUUUCCAAAACACUCCCAAGGAAAUAGAUGUGUAUUGUUGGUCCAAUUUACAAGUGAAGAAACUGAGGCACCAAAAAGUCACUUAACAGUCCCUUAAUUGUCCCAUUGCAGAGGCUGUUCAUUAGGUACACAUCAUCAGUCCCAAAUCCAUUUACUUAAAAAAAAGAAAAAUAGGCUGGGCGCAGUGGCUCACGCCUGUAAUCCCCACACAUUGGGAGGCCGAGGCGGGCGGAUCACCUGAGGUCAGGAGUUCAAGACCAGCCUGGCCAACGUGGUGAAACCCCGUCUCUACUAAAAAUACAAAAAUUAGCCAGGCGUAGUGGCAGGCACCUGUAAUCCCAGAUACUUGGGAGGCUGAGGCAGGAGAAUCGCUUGAACACGGGAGGCAGAGGUUGCAGUGAGCUGAGAUCGUGCCAUUGCACUUCAGCCUGGGCAACAAGAGUGAAACUCUGUCUCAAAAAUAAAAAAAAAGAAAAGGAAAGAAAAUAAAAAAAGAAAGCAUUCUUUUAGUAGGGAAAGAAAAUGGGCCUCUCGGUCAAAGUAAGGCUGGCAGGAGGCAGAUAAUUUGCAACCGCCAUGUAAUAGCAGGAAAAGGGUCCCACUGCUCCCUCAACUGCCUUCCUGUUCCUCUUGCUCCUAAUGUUGCUGACCUCCCCAGUUCUCCCUACGCCUCUCGGUCCACUCCCACCAUGCUGGUGAGUUCCCACAGACUCAACUGUCGGCACCACUGGGCACAAUUUGACUCAUCUGACAGGAAAGUCAAUGCUACACAGGAAGGAGAUAGACAUCUUUCUGAUCACAGCUUGGUUCACAGUGCUCCACUCUGGGCCCAAAGCCAGGGCUCAGUAACUGAGAAAAGUCACUUGACAGCUCAAAGAAAGAUGAAAUGGUGACAUGGAUCUUCAAAAGCACAGUCACGUCCCCUUCCUAAAGGGGCCCUUCAACUGUGCCAGGGUGGCCAGUGCCCCAAGCCUCAGCCCCUCCCUCUUGCUUCCCACUUUGUGACUGACAUGCCUCCUAACCCCAAAGUGGGAACAAGGUGGCCUCCCUCAAUUCCAUGGAAGAUCAGUUACUCCAGGAAGGGCUGGGAAAGAGGAGGGGAAACCAAUGUCAAAAACAAGAUUUGGGGAUUUUCCUUGGGUUUCUUUUUAUAUCGACAGGUUAUUCCUGUCCUUGUUAUGAUAAAUAAUUAAUAGUUGGCUCCAAAUCUGCCACUGGCUUUUAGCUUGGUAUCCAAAUGAAAUAAACAAUCUGCAGAAUAUUAUUUAGGGCUUCACCAUGUGGACACCACACAGGAAGAGAGCCCAGCAGGGCUGCUGACUGGAGCUAUGCUGAGUCAUUGAAUGGAGUUCUCCUGUAAGAAAGGACUGAGGAGAGAAUCAUUACACUCUGGAUUUCAAAGAAUUCAGACUCUCUGACCCAGGAAUUCUACUUCUGGGAAAAGAAAGAACAUAGCUAUAAAAAAAAAAAAACCCUUUAUGCACAAAGAUGUUCAACACAGUGUUUUUUAUAAAAGCAAAAUAAGGCCGGGUGUGGUGGCUCAUGCCUGUAAUCCCAGCACUUUGGGAGGCCAAGGUGGGUGGAUUACUUGAGGUCAGGAGUUCAAGACCAGCCUGGCCAAUGUGGCAAAACCCUGUCUCUACUAAAAAAGAAUUAGCCGGGUGUCGUGGCGCAUGCCUGUAAUCCCAGCUACUUGGGAGGCUGACGCAGGAGAAUUGCUUGAACCCAGGAAGCAGAGGUUGCAGUGUGCUGAGAUUGUGCCACUGCACUCCAGCCUGGGUGACAGAGUGAUGUGUCUCAAUAAAUAAAUAAAUUAAUUAAUUAAUUAAAUAAAAGCAAAAUAACACCCAAAUAAUUGGUAAUGUUUGGGUGCCACCAAUUAGGAGUAAUAGGAGGUUGAUUAAGAGAAAUUGGUAUAUCCACCUAAUACUACAGCUAAUGAAAGUGAGAUUUAUGGCCAGGCACGGUGGCUCACGCCUGUAAUCCCAGCACUUUGGGAGGCCUAGGCGGGCAGAUAACGAGGUCAGGAGUUCGAGACCAGCCUGACCAACAUUGUGAAACCCCACCUCUAUUAAAAAAUACAAAAAUUAGCCAGGCAUGGUAGCAGGCGCCUGUAAUCCCAGCUACUCAGGAGACCGAGGCAGGAGAACUGCUUGAACCCAGGAGGCGGAGGCUGCAGUGAGCUGAGAUCGCACCAUUGCAUUCCAGCCUGGGCAAUAAGAAUGAAACUCCGUCUCAAAAAAAAAAAAAAAAGUCUGAGAUUUACAAGAAUUUGUACUAAUGUGAAAGAAUGCCUGUGUUAUAGUGCUAAGUGUGAAAGGCAGGAUGCAGAGCUGAGGAUACAGAAUAAUCAUGGCUGUGUAAAAACAAACAAGAAACUAGGCAGAGGAAAAAGACUCAGGAGAUUUGUCUAAAUAUUAAGUGUUCUUGAUCUGGGUGUUGAUUGUAAAACCAUCUCCACAGGGUUGACAAAAAUUGCAUGCUGGGUUCUGGACAGAAAUAUAUUAAUAGUUAUAAUGAAGCAGUAAUCAGGCUGCACUUUGGCCCAUUUCCUUAUUGCAAAAAGUCACGUAGCCCUAGACACUGACCAUCUGCAUCCCCGUUGUUUCUGUAGAUAGGAUUUCUGACAUUAGGAUCCUAAGACUUUUGUUUAAGGAUCACUUAAGAUGUUUUACGGACCCCUAAUUCCGGCAACCAGUUUGAAGACCCUCACAGAGGAACGGGAUUGGCAUGAGAAGACAGCUUCUUCAUCUCCUUGUCCCAGGACCUCACCCUACACCCUGCAACCAGUCAACCAUCUCCACACUUUGGCCCAGUCCAACAUUUUUACAACCCUAGCCCCAAAUUCCUUGGGGAGAUGGAUUUGAGGUGUGGGCAGAGGAUUACCUAGGUGCCGAGGCAAGACACUGAAGGCACAAACUGUUUCAGUAUAAUAAAGAAAAUAGAAUAAGAAUAGUCAUAAUACAAAUUAGAUACAGAGAUGAUCAUGAACAAUUAUCAAUCAUUAUUAUAAACAUUAUUAAUCAUUAGCUUUUAAUAUUACUCUUUGUUCCAUUACUAAUAUAACCUAGGAAUAACCGGCGGGUAUAGGGUCAGGUGCUGAAGGGACAUUGGGAGAAGUGACCUAGAAGGCAAGAGGUGAACCCUCUGUCAUGCCGGCAUAAGGGCCGCUGGAGCGCUCCUUGGUCAAGCGGUAACGCCAGUGUCUGGGAAGGCACCUGUUACUUAGCAGACCGGCAAAAGGGAGUCUCCUUUCCUUGGAGGAGUCAGGGAACACUGUCCUCCACCAGCUUCUUGUGGAAGGCUGGAUAUUAUCCAGGCCUGCCCGCAGUCAUCCAGAGGCCUAAACCCCUCCCUGUGGUGCUGUGCUUCAAGGGUCAUGCUCCUUGUCCACUUUCAUGCUCCUCCCGCACUCCUGGUUCCUCUUCGAAGCUCAUAGUAGAUAGCAGUAGAAGAAAUAGUGAAAGUCUUAAAAGUCUUUGAUCUUUCUUAUAAGUGCAGAGAAGAAAACCCUGACAUAUGCUGCCUGCUCUCUGCUUCAGCUACCUAAAAGGGAAGGGCCCCCGAUCCUGUAAUCACAUGACUUGCUUCACCUUGUCAAUCACUUAGAAGAUUUACCUUCCUUACCCUGCCUCCUCGUCUUGUAUGCAAAAAAUAUCAGCGAGCCCAGACGUUCGGGGCCACUACCGGUCUCUGCAUCUUGAUAGUAGUGGUCCCGCAGGCCCAGGUGCUUUCUCUUUAUCUCUUUGUCUUGUGUCUUUAUUUAUUACAAUCUCUCGUCUCCACACACGGGGAGAACACCCGCUAAGCUCCGUACGGCUGGACCCUACAGAGGUUUCCUCCCAUCUCCUCCUUUGGUGACCCUCUGAUUAAACCUCUUUCUCUGCUGCAACCUGGUGUCUUGGCAUCUUGACUUGCCACGUGCAUCUCAUUAUAAUGACAUGGGUGUGUACACUUCAUGGCGCUGUACACAUGAUGUGGGAACUUUUCUGUAUGUUUGUUAGACUUCAAUCACAUUUACAUUUUGAAAAUUAACAGUGGCUCUCUUUGGAUGACAUAUAUUUUUUUCCAUUUGUCAUUAUUUAGCAAAUCACCAGUAAUAAUCACAUAUCACAUACAUAUGUAUGUGUGUAUGUAUAUAUUUUUUAAGUCCCUAUUGACCUAAUAUGGAAGCAAUCUCUGUCCUCAGUUUUUUUUUCAAAGUAACUGAAUGGGUAACAAAGAAAGGUGAGCUUUCCUUUUGAAAUAUUCUAAGGCGAGUAUGAAUUCUUUUCUGAAAAUCACUAAACUCAAAGAGGACUUUGAAACCAGCCAACCUGAGGGUGUCCAGAGCUGGCCUGGAUGGGUGUGAGCAGGGCCUGGGGGCUGGAGAGGACACAGGGUGGGCAGAAAGAAGAAACAGAUGAGCUCUCUGCUGCCUUCUUUUGCACCUUGACCUCCACCUUUUAUCUAUUUUACAUAUUUGGGCUUCAAAAAGUUUCAUUUAAAGAAAAGAUUCUGUAGCUAAAAGAAGUUUUUUAAAAUGCUCAAAACUCUCACUCUUUUUUAGAAAGAUAUGUAGAAACCAAGUUGCCACCCCUUUUACCCCAAAGGCCACAGACAGUGCCCACUGCACCCAGCCACCUCCAUGGCCCGGAACACCAUGAAAGUCCCUCUGCCCGUCCCCCAGCUGUGGAGGUAGCAAAAGCUCUGAUUUUAAAAUACCGGAAUGAUACACUACAUUCAAAACGAAAUGAUGUUUAAGUCAUAGGCAUACACAUAGGAAGUCCUCACUUAAUGAUGUAAGCUCAUUCUAGAUAAAUAUGCAGAAAAAUAAUUCUCUACUAGGAGAAUUCUAUUUUCCCAGUGCCUGAUAACCUAAAAUACAGAGAAUCAGUGGGGGACAGAGAAUAGGGUGGGAGGAAUUGGCCCCUGUAAGAUGGCAAGCCUUUUCGAUAGCAUAUUUAAAUUUUAAAAAAUCAUCUAUGAUUCAGAAAAAAAGAAUGAGUAAUAAAAAACAAAGAAAAAAAUCACUGAUAUUGCUGGAAAAAGAUUUAGGGCCAUACAAAAAAAUAUAGUAUACACUGGCAGGAUGAAGUCAACCUCUCACACUUCACCUACUGUAAAUGUGGCCAUCCCAUGGUAACCAUGGUUCAGCCAUUUUGGCAGCCCAGAGCCCCACAGUAUUUCUAAGUUUAUACUCUUUGCUAGACAGAGGGGAUUUGGGGAAUAGAAGGCUUCUUCAUCACUUGAAAUAACUGGCCUCUUUCCAAACAAAUUUGCCUUAUACAGAAGAAAAUGGAAACUCACUAGGCUAGAAAAUAAAUUCCUGGCAUGUUCUCAGCACAGGGCACUGGCCCUGUCUGUGCCUGCAGGGACUCUGGUUGUUUAGCAACCAGCCAGUGUCCAAGCAUCAUCAGCAGAAUAGCAAACCAGGUCUGUUCCCAACCUAAUGCUCCUCUAUUAGCCAUUACAACACACCAAGAUGGUGCUGCAUGUUAAGGGCCAGUGGUGGGCCAAUGGGACCAGCUGGGCCCAGCUCUUAGCCAAUAGCAGGUGGGGACCAUGGGCAGGGACUCUCAGGGUGUGUGUUCUUGCUUGUCCUUGGGCAAGUCAUUUUACCUUUGGGGGCUGUUUCCUCAUUUAUAAAAUGAAAGAGUUUGACUAGAUGACCCUUAAGGCCCUAUAGAAAUAGCAGGAGUUUUUGGUUUGAUUCUUGGCCUUCUUCUUCAUCUUUUUUUUUUUUUUGAGAUGGAGUCUCCUUCUGCUGCCCAGGCUGGAGUGCAGUGGCGCGAUCUCGGCUCACUGCAACCUCUGCCUCCCGGGUUCAAGCGAUUCUCCUACCUCAGCCUCCCAAGUAGCUGGGAUUACAGGUGUGCACCACCAUGCCCAGCUAAUUUUUGUAUUUUUAGUAGAGACAGGGUUUCUCCACGUUGGCCAGGCUGGUCUCGAACUCCUGACCUCAGGUGAUCCACUUGCCUUGGCCUCCCAAAGUGCUGGGAUCACAGGCGUGAGCCACCGCGCCUGGCCUAUUCUUACUAGCUGUUAUCGCACCAUCUCUUUUAGCUUCAGUUUCCUCCCGUCAAAUGUAUAUCAUAUCUACUCUACUCUAUAGGGCCUGUGGUGGGUUAUGAGAAAAGUCUGUUGAAGCCCUAACGUAGACACAGAGCCAGAACACAGGAGGGUAUACCUAGGGUGAGGCAAGGAAUCCUUUGGUAGGCAGGAGGUGAACCCGUGGAUGCUGACAUGGCCCCUCACUGGCCAAAAAAUAUAACAGGCUUUGCAUCCUCCAAGGAGCUACCUCUACUCAUUAAGAAUCUUAUCUUGCACGCACCCUUCAGACGGCUUGUAAUCUACUUCAUUGAAAAAGCAAAGUGAAGGCCGGGCACGGUGGCUCACGCCUG
rnacentral:lncRNA from 1 species